rnacentral:rRNA from 1 species
UACGAAGGGGGCUAGCGUUGCUCGGAAUCACUGGGCGUAAAGCGCACGUAGGCGGAUUGUUAAGUCAGGGGUGAAAUCCCAGAGCUCAACUCCAGAACUGCCUUUGAUACUGAAGAUCUUGAGUUCGGGAGAGGUGAGUGGAACUGCGAGUGUAGAGGUGAAAUUCGUAGAUAUUCGCAAGAACACCAGUGGCGAAGGCGGCUCACUGGCCCGGA